AGUGAACGCUGGCGGCAGGCCUAACACAUGCAAGUCGAACGGCAGCACGGCAGUAGCAAUACUGUGGGUGGCGAGUGGCGGACGGGUGAGGAAUACAUCGGGAUCUACCCUGUUGUGGGGGAUAACGUAGGGAAACUUACGCUAAUACCGCAUAAGAACUGAGGUUGAAAGCGGCGGACCGCAAGGCGUCGCGCGAUUGGAUGAACCGAUGUCCGAUUAGCUAGUUGGCGGGGUAAAGGCCCACCAAGGCGACGAUCGGUAGCUGGUCUGAGAGGACGACCAGCCACACUGGAACUGAGACACGGUCCUGACUCCUACGGGAGGCAGCAGUGGGGAAUAUUGGACAAUGGGCGCAAGCCUGAUCCAGCCAUGCCGCGUGGGUGAAGAAGGCCUCGGUUGUAAGACC
rnacentral:rRNA from 1 species